CACGGGGGGAGCAACCGUUGUUCGGAAUCACUGGGCGUAAAGGGCGUGUAGGCGGUCAAGUAAGUGGAAUGUGAAACGCCUCGGCUUACCCGAGGACCUGCAUCCCAAACUGCUUGGCUUGAGUAUGGGAGAGGAUGAGGGAAUUCCUGGUGUAGCGGUGAAAUGCGUAGAUAUCAGGAGGAACACCGGUGGCGAAAGCGCUCAUCUGGCCCAAUACUGACGCUGAGGCGCGAAAGCUAGGGGAGCAAGCGGG
rnacentral:rRNA from 1 species